AAAAGAUGAGGACUGCGUGGAGAUCUACAUCAAGAGAGAAAAAGAUGUGGGCAUGUGGAAUGAUGAGAGGUGCAGCAAGAAGAAGCUUGCCCUAUGCUACACAGCUGCCUGUACCAAUACAUCCUGCAGUGGCCACGGUGAAUGUGUAGAGACCAUCAAUAAUUACACUUGCAAGUGUGACCCUGGCUUCAGUGGACUCAAGUGUGAGCAAAGUAAGUCUGGUUCUUGCCUCUUUCUUCACUUGAGAUGGUAGCACCAUCUCACGUCCUAGCUGGCAUUAGAGUCAGGUCUGCAUGCCUUCCCUUCCCUGGUGCAGAUGGUGUCAUAUGGUGAUCGUGAGCUGAGACUAUGAAGUCAGACCCUGCUGGGUUUGAGUCCUAGAUUCACCAGUUAUUUAUUUUGGCACCUUGACAAGAUAGUUUAACUCUCUAUGUCAGUUUUCUCAUUGUAAAAUGAGGAUAAUAAUAGUGUGAACUUCAUAGGCUCAUGGUUACAUGGUGCCUGGCACACAGGACACAUUCAAUAAACUGUAAUUCUGUGUCCCUGCGAGGAACAU
rnacentral:lncRNA from 10 species